rnacentral:rRNA from 1 species
UGGGGAAUUUUGGACAAUGGGGGAAACCCUGAUCCAGCCAUCCCGCGUGUGCGAUGAAGGCCUUCGGGUUGUAAAGCACUUUUGGCAGGAAAGAAACGUCAUGGGUUAAUACCCCGUGAAACUGACGGUACCUGCAGAAUAAGCACCGGCUAACUACGUGCCAGCAGCCGCGGUAAUACGUAGGGUGCAAGCGUUAAUCGGAAUUACUGGGCGUAAAGCGUGCGCAGGCGGUUCGGAAAGAAAGAUGUGAAAUCCCAGAGCUCAACUUUGGAACUGCAUUUUUAACUACCGGGCUAGAGGGUGUCAGAGGGAGGUGGAAUUCCGCGUGUAGCAGUGAAAUGCGUAGAUAUGCGGAGGAACACCGAUGGCGAAGGCAGCCUCCUGGGAUAACACUGAGGCUCAUGCACGAAAGCGUGGGGAGCAAACAGG